rnacentral:rRNA from 1 species
GGCUACUACCCUCAACUAAAUUUCUUCGGUUGAUUCCGAAGAAAGGCAGUUGGAUCUGGCCGUCCGGUUUGCCGUUUGGGUUGCUGGUCAGCUGAAAUACAUUCACGCUUUGAGAGCUGCUUUCCUUUCCGAGGAAAGGCGAGUUCCGAUUUGGUAGGUGACCUUUGCCGGUUGCAUGCCUUCGUUGCCCGCUAUGCUCUCAAUUGCGUUGUGCAGGACGCCUUUUGGCUU